AGAACUUCAGUCAGCUGAAUAUGGAGGACUCAGCUAGAAGAGAAGAAGAGAGACACAGCUGUAAGGACCUGAACAUUUAAUAGGUGCCAAGUACAGUGAUGACCACAUUUUAGACCCUGAACAGAACUGAACUGAAUUCAGUAGAAGCUGGAUUUUGCCUGCUGAAGCCAGUAACAAAAUACAUACUUAUCUAAGAAUACAUGCUGCCUACUUCUCACUUCCCUCCUUUCAGAGGAUGCUGUCAGCUCAAAACAAUCAAUUAGUGGACAAGAUGAUCUCUCCUAGUCCAAAGGCUGGUCACUCAAAUGGCACAUUUUGACACGCUUGGCUGAUUGAACGACUUUCACAAGUUAAGCUGCUGGUCAAUACUAGCUACAAGCAAGACACUCUUGUGAAGAAUCUGUUCACAAAGUAGUACUAAAGGUAUGAAAAUAUCAGUUUGCAGUUUAUGAAACUUUAUGUGCAAUGGUUAUCGUUAUCUAUAUUUCUUCCUAGCAAUGACCAACGUGUGAUAACUUCUUUCCAACUAAAAUAAGCCUCAAUCCCUGACCAAAGGAGUUUGCAUUCUAAACUCAGAGGCUGCGUCUACAUGUGCCACUAGGGGGCAGCAAUUACCUAGGGAGUUUACUGCUCCUGGGAAGCUCCCGGGUGUGGGUCUGCAUGUAUGCCUGGACUGCAGCACACUGAGCCAGGUUGUAGCAGCUCUGGCUGGCAGGGGAUCCCAGGGAACACCUGAUAAAUACACUGUAUGCCUUGCUUUUGAGGUCCAAGGCACACUGCUGUACUUCACCAACAUGUUGCUUCUGUGUUGGUUUUAUAGGCUCUUUGUAAAGUCUAAAGAGUGG